UUUUAGGAUAAUAUUAAUGUAUUUUUUUUAUAAUUUGAGGAUUUAAUUUUUAUUUAUUUAAAGUGGUAUUAAUAAAUUUUUGUUUUAGUAUUUAUUUAUAAAUAAUAGGCAUAUUUUUAAAUGUAAAUUAUUAGUGAAAUAAAAUUAAAAAAUUUUAAUAAUAAAGUAAAAUUUAUUUUUUGUACCUUUUGUAUCAGGGUUUAUUAAUUAAGUAUUAUUUAUUUAGUUUUCUCGAAUUAAUUAGAGUUAAUAUAUUAUUUAAGUUAAUGUGUAAUUAUUAUUUAAAAUAUUAUAUUAGGGGAGAUAUUCUAGUCAAUAAUUAAGAUAUCUAGUUUUUUUAGAAAUAAAUUUAAUUUAUUUAUUAAAGUUUAAAAUAUUUAAAAUUUUUAUUUUUAUUUAUUUGUUUAAUAGAAAGAAUUUAAGGGAUUAGCUUUAAAUUUAAAAUUAAAAAUUGAUAUAGAUUAAAAUAAUAAAUUAUAGAUUUAAAAAUGGUUAUUAAUUAAAAUUUUUAAUAAUUUAUUUUAUAUUUUAAUAAUUGAUUUUUUUUUGUUUUAAUUAUUUAUAAAAAUAUUAAAAUUAAUAAUUUAUUUUGAGUAAUAAUGAUAAAAUUAUUAUAAUUUGAUUUAUGUAAUUGUUUAUUUGUAAAAAUAAAUAUWAUUWUAAGGAAUUAGACAAAAGUAAUAUUUACCUGUUUAACAAWAACAWAGYWWUWUKAUUUUAAUUUAAAGUCUAAUCUGCCCACUGAUAAAAUUAAAUGGCCGCGGUAUUUUGACCGUGCAAAGGUAGCAUAAUCAUUAGUUUUUUAAUUGAAAGCUUGUAUGAACGAUUGAAUAAGAUAUUUAUUGUCUCAUAAUUAUUUGGUUUAAAAUUUAAUUUUUAAAUUAAAAAGUUUAAAUAUUAUUAUAGGACGAGAAGACCCUAUAGAUUUUUAUAAUUAAAUAAUUUAAUUUUAAUUUAAUUUAUUUAUUGAGAUUAAUAUUUAAUUGUUUUGUUGGGGUGACAUUAAAAUUAAAUUAACUUUUAAUUUAAAUAUACAUUAAUUUAUGAUAUUUUAAUAUUUUUUUAUUGAUUUUUGAUCCUAUAUUUUAGAUUAGUAAAUUUAAAUACCUUAGGGAUAACAGCGUAAUUCAUUUGGAGAGAUCACAUUAAUAAAUGAGUUUGCGACCUCGAUGUUGAAUUAAGAUAAUAUUUAGGUGGAGAUACUUAAAUAAAUAGGUCUGUUCGACCUUUAAAUUCUUACAUGAUUUGAGUUCAGAUCGGCGUAAGCCAGAUCGGAUUCUAUCCUUAAUUAAUUAUUAGAUAUUUUUGUACGAAAGGACUUAAUAUUUUAAAUAUUUUAUUAUCAGGUUGAAUUGGAUUAAAUUUUUAAA
rnacentral:rRNA from 1 species